UCUGAACAUUCAGUCACCGCCCAAGAUGCCAACGCAAUCAGAACAGAGCCGAGAGGUUUGUUUGUUCCUGGCGAGGGAGCUCUUUCUAACCUAGGCAGAAGCAGCCAGCCUUCUGAAAUACCCCGGGGCAGGAAUCCCAGGGCUGCUUCCCACCUCCGGACUUCUCAGGCCUCUGAAUCCGGAGCUGUAGGAAGCAAAAAGUCGAACUGCAAGAACACAGUGAGAGAAAUGGGCAGAUGCCUUAAGGCUAGGGUAGCUGGGGGAAGGGCGCACGCGAGAACUGAACAGAUACCGCACCAGGCCGCGCUCUGCAUAAAGCAACAGGCGGCUGCACCUUACCUUGCGCCAGUCCUGGGUUGGGAUGGCUGCUCCAUCCUCGUGGCGCAGGGAGGAGGCGUUUGAUGCAUAAGCCUAGGGGUGUGCGUGCUGCUCGCUGCCACCGAGUGAGGGUGCGGCCCUGGGCUGCCGUGUGGGGCACGACUUGGCUUUUACUGCUGCGGCGGCCGCUGCAGACCCUGUGCAGGCGGCUCAGUCACUAGAGGGGACUCGCCUCCAAACCUGGACUGGGAAUGGAGGAGGGGCGAGGCUAACCAGAAAUCAAGUCCGGCUCAGCAAAGGAUGUUCUUUAAUAUGAGAAGCUGAUUGGUUGUUUCCUCUGCUUCUGCUGAUGUCCAAUUAAAAGAAUGAAACCGGAGAAAGAUAGCUUCUUGGAAGCCCUACUUAUAAUCUAAUUAGUGAACCAGAGAGAGAACUUAGCAUCUCUGACCUUCAUGCUAACCUUCAGGGCCUUUCUGCUUCAGAGGAGAACAAGCAAACUCAGUUUAAAUGCCAGAGAUUUUCAAGGAAUGGAACAAAGAAAGCAGAGUGACAGGAAUGAAAGACACUGAAAAAGUCCUCACUGGCAGGAAUUUAUUCUUGUUACUUCUGCAUACCAUCAACGAUGUUUGCAUCUUCAUCAAGGCUAGACAUCUCUUCCUGUGAACUUGGGAUGGAUGGAAGAUGUCUGUGGAAGGAUGCAGAUGAUGAGGCCAUUAAGAACUCAACUGUGAUGGACAGUCUUUUUCAAAUUAUUGUUAUUAUUAUUAUUAUGUGUAUUUUAUUUUUCCAUAGUAUCUGACCACCCUCUCUAUUACAAAUCAUACUUAAUGUUGUCACUUAUGGUACAGUAUACACAUAGCACCAUAAAAACAAGCCAUGGAGUUAGCCCUCACUACUGCAUGAAUGUCUGAAGGACAGGUACCAUCGGCUAUCUUUCUAGCCUGCAUCAAUUAUCCUGUCUACUGCUGCAUGUCCAUUUUUACCUAUCAUUAAGAUUCACAAAAACUUAAGUUACUUAAAAAUUAAACAUUUAAAUGUUUGUUGACAAAACAAUAAACAUGAAAAAUUUUUCCUAUUACCUUGGCCAAUAAAAAAUUUAGAAUUUCUAGUUACUAGGCACACAGGACUCUAAAGUAUGCUAUACCUUGCCUGCUUUGAGCUACAAAUAUAUUCUAUUUUCUUGUGACACCACCUUUACAGGAAGACUUCUCGCUGACCCCAUAUGCUUGAUGGCUUUGGGGUCUUCUUUCCAGGGCUUCACAUAGCUGCUGUCUUCCUAAGGCUAAAUUGCCUAUUUGACAGUAGAAUAAUGAAAGUCAUUUCAAGGUUGCUUCUGUCAAAGCCACUAGGGCCAGCAUUCUGGGGACUGCUCUGGAUAUAAAGUGCUUAAUUGAAAGUAAUCAAUGCCACAAAUCAAUUCAGGAUUUAGCAUCAAACACUGUUUGCUGAACAGGACCAGGAAGGAAAUCCCUGGUCUCAUAAAACACAGGAAAACCACAAAGUGGAAGCUUCAUUCUAGCUUAUUCUGCCUUCCUUAAAAGGUGGUGGCAUGAGCCAAUUAUACAGAAGCUAGAAUGCAAGGAUAAAAUAGAAAAUUGAUUUAACUUUUUUAUUUA
rnacentral:lncRNA from 1 species